rnacentral:misc_RNA from 1 species
AAGUCGUAACAAGGUAUCCGUUGGUGAACCAGCGGAUGGAUCAUUACCUGAACCCAAAAUACGCUAAUGUUGGUGUGGUUAACAUGUUGUUAACCUCUGGCGUGGUUGGUUAAUCAACCUGCUAGUACUUGUAGUGUGCAAUGAAGUGGUGUUGAAGCCACGUCGCACGCUUGAUGAGUGAAGGAAUUGCUGGAACGGACUCUUGUGAGUCCAGGCGAGAUGCCUCCUCAAUCCCUGUGACUGCCAUUGACUUGACUGAAGCGAUUGUCUCAAAAAUGACAACUGCUGGCCGUGGAUCACUUGGCUGACG